rnacentral:rRNA from 1 species
UACGUAGGGGGCAAGCGUUGUCCGGAAUCAUUGGGCGUAAAGCGCGUGUAGGCGGCCCGGUAAGUCCGCUGUGAAAGUCGGGGGCUCAACCCUCGAAUGCCGGUGGAUACUGUCGGGCUAGAGUGCGGGAAGAGGCGAGUGGAAUUCCUGGUGUAGCGGUGAAAUGCGCAGAUAUCAGGAGGAACACCUAUUGCGAAGGCAGCUCGCUGGGGACGUAACUGACGCUGAGACGCGAAAGCGUGGGGAGCAAACAGG